AUGGCAGCUUUACUCAGUGAUGUUCAAGGGCAGUGACUUAAGAAACCUUCAUCGAUACCAGCAGAGCCAGCUGCUCAUGGCAUCCCUCUCUGGAGUCACUCCAGGCUCAAGCAGUGUUUUACCCAUGAGUGGACAUUUUCAAAACAGGGCCCUGGAGAAGGCUGUGAAGGCAUUGCGUGAGAACAGCCCUCCCUUUUGCUAAUGGUUCCUCUAAUACCUGCUCUAGCUCUGCCCAGCUCUGUGAUUUCUGUACUGGUUUGUGUGUAGUGGUCUCCGACACAAAUUGAGGACUGGUGCCGUACUACUCUUAGAGGAUUAGAAUUCAGUCAAGAAAACCCUGCUAGCAGAGCAUCAUCGCGAAGUCAGCCCCUUGGAAAUGAAGAGCUGAUAAAAAGGACAUGGGUAGUGCCACUUUAAUUGAGCAGCCCCUACAAUAUGCAGACUUUAAUUACUAAUAUAGUUGACUGCGCAUUAAUCGAAAUCUAAUUUUUGUACAACACCCUUGCCAUCAUCAGUGCAUAGGAUAGAAAUCCUGUCUGAUAGCCACUACUGAAUACAGUAUUUUCCUGUUUCCCCAUCUUGUCCUUUCAUUACCUUUCCAUCCAAUUUCAUUCUUUUCUGCCCAAGCAAUCCCAAUUCUUGCUUAAUUCCUCAUCAGCUUUCCCCCCAUCACCACCAGCCUGCCAUCUACAACCUCCCCAGCAACUGCCAGCAUUCAUGGCUGUGACAAGCUUUCCUGGGUCCCACAAGGAUCAGGUGUGCCCAUGUUAAUCUGCUCCAGGCCGACUAAUCCCCCUGGCUAAACCCGGUCACUGGGUGUCUCUUCUCCACCCACCAGUCUGUAUCAUCUGCUCUCAGGGUGGCCCUGGCAGGUCAGCAGGACACGCAGUGCUGAGGGAGAAGCACGCUGCAGCCUGGAGGUGUGGAGGACCUCACACCUCUGCCUCUGCCUCAAAAUCACCCACCCUUAAGUCAAGCACCUCUAAGUUAGAAGCAAACAAAAAGCACUUGUUUGGUAUCUGUAGAAGUGUCCUUCACUCAGGCAGGAGUCAUCAAACCACCUUGUGCCACAGCUUGUCCCUCCAGUUUAGUGAGGCAGGUAUCCCACGGGCACGGCUCAAAGCCAUUCUUACCUGUCCAGCCAGAAAACAGUGUCAGCCAACAAUUUCUCAGAGGCUUAAUUAAACUGUAAGCAAAUGACUAAUAUAUUGUGAAGCAAAACAAUCACUUCCUCAUCAUGGCCACACAGGCAGAUCUCAGAACAAGACCUUCCCUCCCCGUGACUGUGUGCAUGACAAAACCGUGUAACUGGGAUUAUUUUGCUCACAUACUCGCGUGCCUGAGACUGAUGCAUGCGGCUCAUACGCAGGUCUUGUCCAAGAGCAAACACAGUUUCAAGCCCUCCGUCUCUGAGCAGGAAUGGGUUUGGGGGGCUGUCCACUGGCACUGCCUUUUGCAGGACAUGGUGACUCAGGACUACCUUGAACCACCGUCUGCUCUGUGCCCUCAUCCCUUCACGUAGUCACUCUGAGCAUCCUCUUCUCUGUGGUUGUUAGCAGGGUGAAAACAGGGAGCUCUGAAGAAACCGUGACCCUCAGUCCCGGUAUCUGUACUGGGACCUGUAGACGUCUGGAUGGAGACCCCAGAACCAGGCAGUGGCACAGAGUGGGAAAGUAGUACAAGACUCCUGAAGGACAAAAUUAUUGGGGAAUUCCACCAAAUUGCUGAAGUUCUUACAUGUAUCUUAACAUAUGGUCUUGUUUUCCAAAGGCUUAUACCUAGCCCAAAUUUGGGAAGAUUUUCACAGGAACAGCAGAAGGCAUACCCCAAAAACCUCUCACACCUGCCAAAUUUCACAACUCUGCUCCAAACCAUGGAAAAAUAGAGCUCGGAAAGGUCACUGGUAUUUUUAGCCUUACUUCGUAAGGAAAUACAGCUAUGCGAUCACACCACAGCUCACUCCGUUUGCAUUCCCUGCUACUACAUUGGAAUCAUUGGCUGGCCUCAGCCAAAUGUGACAGAAGAGCGGAAGGUGCAAAGAUAUUAAGUUCCUACAAGCUUCAUGAAAAUAGGAACUGGGCAAAGCAGAGAUCCAAAUAAUGCUGGCAAAGAGAGGGAAGCGGCAGGUGCCCGGCCUUUGCUGUGCAACAGAUUAAAUAUUGUUCCUCUGCUUCAGCAAUGGGUUCCUUCUGAAACUACAUUGCCCUAGUAAUAUAUUUUGGCUGCUUCAGAUGUGGGCAACUUGUAGUCUCGGGGGCCAGAGCUGAUGGGCUCAUGGGGAAGGGACCAUGGCUCUUUGUUCCCCUCAUGAGAUGCAGCACCCGGAGAAGUCACUGUAGUGGUGUCAUCAGUACACCUUUGCAGAUGGUGUUAGGGUGAUCUCCUCUCACCCACUGAAGGCAUUACCUGGGUGUAGUCAAAUAUUUGGGUGAGUUUGUGUUAAGUAAAAUGCCUUUUGUGAUCUCUAGAACCCAAGGGUUUUGCUAGAAUACUAGGCAAUAUUUUAAAAGGGAUGCCUGAUAUUCGAGUAAUGUAAUUUAGUUGCAUCCCUCAGUGUAAAUAUGGGCAAAUUACUUUCCCACUUUAACUUUAAUGACCUCUUGCAUUUUAUGUGGCAUAUAGCAUCCUGAGAGGACAUAAAAGAUGACACACAAAUAUGAGGCUAUUAAACCAAAGAUUUAUAUGUAACAUUUGAAGCAAAGUUGUGUUGUGCCUGAAAGCAAGUCCCCUAGAGAUCCUGAAUCAGCAGCAACCCAAAGAUAGCAGGACUCUUCCCUUGGCCCCCAGGGACAAGCUAGGCAAGCACUGAUGUCCUUUGUCCCCAAGGGGCUGUCUGAGUGCAGGAAGCCUGCUGGAAGGCCACGUGCUGAGGUGGAAGAUGACUAUAGUCCUACCUCCAUAGUGUGCGCAGUGCCUCAAAACCAGGAUUAAGGAGAGCUCUGCAACCAUGAGGAGCCUUUAAUAGAACAAUAGGCAGGUCAACAAAAAGGAGGAAGAACAACUCAGGAGGCAUCCCAGUGUGGAGCAGGUCUGGCUGGCUGAUGCAAGUGCCUGUAGGGCUCUACCAGGAUCUUCUAGGGUAUUAAGUUGCAAAUAAGGCUCUUAUGGAACUAGAUAACCUUACAGGCCGGAUGCAGGCACAGGUCACCUGCCUUGUCAACAUCUUCUAGUCCUCAGAUUUAUGCUUGGCUCUGCUAAAUAAAGUACUUUUGGCUCAGACGUGGGUCACCAGGUGAUGCUGAUCUGUGAUAUCCUUUCUUUGUUACCGAUGUAUCCUCCAGUGUCUGUGUCACUCACAAGCACUAUCAGCGGUGAUAUUAGGUUUUCUUCUAAGAAGUUAUGCAAAAUAUUAGCUUUAAUGGAGACAAAAUAAAUGACCCCUGAAGUGGCCUGCAUGCAAUGAACACAAGAAAAGAUGAUUCAUAUUCACAAUUUAUUUUAAGGUGUAGACAUUAAGCAGCCUGUAGUUGCUUAAUUUAAUUUAAUAUUGACACAUUGAUUUCAUGCCAUUCUAGUUUCUAAGCCAAUGUUGCACAGUACCAAGUCCAAGGGGUUUUCUCUCUUUCAGCAAAAUUUAUCAUCUCAUCAAAGGCCUCCCGUUAGUUUGAGAAAGGACAUUUUAUAUAAACCAGCGUGGAUUUGCACAGUUUUUAGCGACCUCCUUUUGUUCUUAGAGCACCAUGCCAGCUGUUGCGUUAUUUGGUCUGCACUGUAUCUCACUUCAUCAGUUUGAAUCUUAACGCUGUCCUGAAACAAAGCCCUGAAGCAGUUAAUGUGAGAGCUGUGUCAGCUUAUAUAUAUCUUAGAAAUUACCUGGAUAAUUUCCGUUCUUGUAGUUUUCUCAUUUUAUUCCACUCCUAAUCCAAAAACAAAUGACAAAUUUUGAAAUAUGUCCUGGAAUUAAAAUUCACUUUACAAGAGUAUUUUGAUUAAUCAAAAGGUUUUCAAUAAAAUAAUGUAUCUGUGAUGUUUUAAUAAGAUUGGAACACUUGGCUUAAGCAAAGAAGAUUGUAAUUUUAUCAAAAUCCAUACACAGGGCAUUUUCAUUUGUGUAAAAAGGCGAUGUCUAAUAGGAAAAUGUUUGGUCAGAACAUUUUUCAUCAUGAAGUGAGGAGAAGAUACACAAUGAUGCUUCUCAAACUAUUGCCUACCCAAGUCAGAUGCCGUGCGAACCUUAUGUGGUUCUCACUGGCUCUUUUCCUGGUUUGUUUGCAGUAAGUCCCACCAAAAGAGAAUCAUAAAAUCAUUGAAUAGUUCUGGUUGGAAGGGACCUUCAAAGCUCAUCUAGUCCAACCCCCUGCAACGAGCAGGGACAUCUUCAACUAGAUCAGGUUGCUCAGAGCCCUGUCUGGCCUGGCCUUGAAUGUCUCCAGGGAUGGGGCAUCUACCACUUCUCUGGGCAACCUGGGCCAGUGUUUCACAACCUUCAUUGUAAAAAAUUUCUUCCUCAUGUUCAGCCUGAAUCUCCCCUCCUUUAGUUUAAAAACCACAACCUGCCCUGUGUGCUGACAGAGCUGUGCAAUGCUGGCAUCCCGUGGCAGGUCUGCCCACCCGCUUGGUGCUGCGAGGAAAGAGAAGGGUCUUUUUGAGGGGAUUAAAGAUGAAUAGAAAAAGAGACAAGCCUGUGCACUUUGUGUUCCUAACAUCUGAAGGAAACAGGGUGACUCAGUUUUCCUGAGUUGACCUUGGUUUAUACUACUGGUUUUUACAGCCUCAGAAGAAAGGAAUCAACUUUUUAAUUUGAGCUGUCACUGUUCAUACGUUUCAGUCUGGCAGUCAGGGCUCAGCCCCCCGCGUUGCCUGCAACAGCAGCAGCAAUAUGGGCUCGUUGGAGGUGGUGACGUCUUGGAGCCGUGAUAAGAUCUCAACAGAGCAAUGCCUUUGUUCAGAUAUCAGCCAUUCCACAAGGAAAAAAGAAACGUCUUCAGAAUCCCUGUUUUACUCUCCUUAGUCAAAGGAUAACGAUUUUUGUUGCCAUAGCUCAAGCUAUCUCCGUAGAAGUGGGGAGGUUAUGGAGGGCUGGUGGAGUGGGGAAUGGGGAGCUGGAAGAUUUUUGAGGUGCAUGCCUGGCCCAGAUGUAGUACCCAUGGGUUGGAAGUGGUACCCUUGGCCCCGAGUCCUGAUGUUGUUUUGCUUAGCUGGUGGUUUGUGCCCAUGACUGUGAGCAGGGAUUACCUUUUGUAAUCGGAUGUCAUGAAUGGAGAGUACUUAAUUGGGCUUUUUUGGUGGCUGUUGUUAUUAUGACAGAGAAAAAUAUUAUCCUGUCAUGCAUUUAUUAACAUUUUUUAUGGAGGAAGCCUGUCUCAAUCUGUGUCUCUGUUACAGCCAAAUGCAAACCCUACUGUUUUCUGUUCUUACUGCAUAAGAGCCCUCUGUGUAACAGAGGCAAAAACCACACUGUGUACUACGGAAGAUUUCUGAUUAUUUUUUCUUAAAAGCUGCAUGCAUUUCAUUGAAUGUCUAUCAUAUUAUCGCUUGGCUUGAUAGUCUAGAUACUUCAUCUCCUUGACAACAGACAACAUCCAGUGUGGAGCAUCCCACUGCCUCCAGAUGCUGUGGGAAUCUUGCCACCCCUGGCAGGCAGGAGGGCUCAGCCUGGCUUGGGAGGUGAGGAGCAGUGUGUCUGCACAGGGAGGGAGGGGGCCAGUCCCAGCCGAACUGCCUUCACCCCCACCAUGCUUGGCCCCAGGUUAGUCUGAAACGCCGUGAACCACAACAAAAUUAACUUUUCUGCUUCUCAGAAACGUAAGAACUUAGAGCGAUAGAAUAAUUAAUGCAGCUGAUUAAAGGCGGCAAUUACACAUUAACAAAGGAAGAUAAGCAUUUAGUUUCCAGCCUUAUUGCAUUUCAGACUUCUAUAUUGGUUCCAAAGAUGGCUGCAGACUUAUUUGCCUUGCUAUAUAUGCAUGUACAUAAUAUACAUAUGUAUGAUUACAAUCUCCUGCCCUGCUUCAAUAAUAUACUUAAUUGCUUUCUAGCCCCACCUCAAGCUGCCUAAAUUCAUUUCACAGGGAAAAGAUUAUUUACUGUUGGCCUUUAGCAAAUAAAUUGCCUGCCAUCCUUAAUCUGGGUAAUAAAAGGUACUGUAUCAGCCUGCUCGCAGUUCUGCACGUUGCAUCUGCUUCCACACAAAGUAUUACUGACAGCUAUUUUCCUUUUGCCAUCUCCAGCAAAUGGAGUGAGUACAUAAUGUAAAAUGUAAACCCAACAGAUCGGCUGAGAGUUGGAUUCCUUGUCUUCCAUUACUCUCUCUGUGACAUUAAGUAAAUUAUUUGCAUAUGACAUUUGCAUUACAUAUUACAUCUACCGUGCUAUUUUUUUAAGUGCCAUGCAUUAUAAUAAAUGGUAAAUAUAUGGGUGCAAUAUUCUGAUCCACUGGCAUGUUUCCAUACAUGCAUACUUACACACAGAAGCACGUAUGCACACACUAAAUACACCUGUGCGUCCAUACAUCUGCAGUCGCAAAAACUAUGGCUAUGGUUCACACUGUUCAUGUCAAUAGGCUUUUCCCCCAAAGUAUUAUACUAGGGGACACAAAUUGGAAAGAGGAGAAGACACAUAAAAGAAAACAAGGGACCAGUGUUCAGGUAGGAUUUUUCCAUCCAAAGGAGGAGUCACUAAUGUGAUAUUUUUCAUUACAGGAGGGCAUCAGGAGGCAGGAUUGCUGAAGACUGGGGAGAACACACAGCCUUUCGCUCUUAUCACUUUCACAUGAGGGACUGUGGGGAUGUAAAAGGUCCGUGGUGCUGCAAAUGUCACAGCCGGGCAAUUCCCAGAACGUCAGGUGUGAGGUUGCAAACGUGAGAAGCACGUGGCAUCCUUUAAAAGUAAUCCAGUGUGAGGAAGUAGCUUCUGGAGAUACUGUAAUCUCCUUGGGGUCCACACUGUGCAUCUGUGCUUAAGUGUUUAAGUGGCUCUGUGUGUCUUUGGUGGAAGAACACAGGGCACUGAAAGCUUCCAGACUGCUUUCGGUUUGGGUUUUUGUGGGGCUGGUUUGAUUGGUUGGUUGGUUCAUUGGUUGGUUGGUUUGGUUUGUUUUUUUAAUGUGUCAGGAAGAAGCGGUAGGAGGUGACAUUUUUUUUCUCUGAUAAAUAGCAUACAGGUUCCACAUUCAACUUACCAGAAAAUAAGGACAAUGCUAGAAAAUGUCAAUGCAAAUUUUGCUGUAGCCUCCUUUUGUACUGGUUUUGUUCAGCUCCCCAUGAAGUGAACAGCAAGAGAGCACAUGAAAUCAUGAGAGGCAGGAGGUGGUGGGAACUGGGACACAACGUUCAGCAGAAAAAAUUGAUCAAGGUCAAUCCCCAAUGUUGGCAGAUGCAGAGGAGUAUGGGAUAAAUUGUGCAUGGGUUUGGUCCUCAACAUACCUCACAGCUGCUCCCUGUUUAAAGCCAGGCUGAUAUGAAAACAUAUGGGAUAUUGCCUGCCUGCCUGUUUUAAUGAUGGUAAAGUAUCAUUCCUCACUCAAGCUGUGGGGGGUAGUCAGCUUCUCAAAGGCAGGAGGUAAAGGCAGUAAUUAAAGUAAAUUGAAAUAUGCUUAUGAGCCCAGGGGCAGCAGGGCAAAAGAGGUGGGUGCCCGGCAGUGCAGUGCUCCCUGCACUCCUCAUGUGAGGAAAGAGCUGCACCCACCACCCUCUAACCUGCUUUAUCUCCCAGGGAGAAGCAUCCUUCACCCAGAAUGUAAAGUCAAAGGUUUCCUCUGUGGUUGCUCCUGAGCAUCUCUCAUGUAUGUGCUCUGUGUUUACCUUCUGGGUGCUUUUGGGCACAGGCUAAGAAACUGAGGCAGCCACCCUGCUCUUUCUUCACCUGUGCUGUUUUCCAGGAUGGGCCAAGUGAUGCUCAGCUGCAUCCCUGCUUCACUUGUGCCGUAGUUAUUUGGUCAUGCUGGGAGCUGGCCUUGGACGCCCUGGAACUGCCAACCUACUCAUGGGCACGUCCAGCAGCAGCAGCAACCCUAUGUCUGAGCAUGCAUCAAAAGGACAGUGAGACUUCCCGUACACGGAGGGCAGUGUGCUCCACAACACAAUAACCUCAGACAGAACAUCGCGCUGAUGUGGCCCUUCUAGUUGUACCUCCAUUGACUCAUUGUGAGAUGCUUCAGGUAGAUCAACAUGGGAACAUGCUAGGAAGAAGAAAAAAGGCAGGCAGAGGUAGGUAACUGCUGCUGCAGGCGGAUGGGCUGGAUAGGCUGGGAUGUAUCGGCCUGGAAGAGAGAUGGCUGCAGGACAACGGUGAGUAUGUGAGAGGUCUGCAAAAGAAAGGGAAAUGGGAAGGAACUUUAAUUACUUCUCACCAGACUUGAAGUCAUUAUGUAAGUUUACUAGGCAGCGGGUUUAAAAAAAGCAGGGGUAAAAAGGUAUUUUAGUGCUUAGUUGCACUUUGAGAUUGUUGGCACAGGAUGGUGUGGGUGCCAGGAGCUUUGUAAGUGGUCAGAAAGCAGCUGGACAAAUUCAAUAAAGUAAAAUCCUUCAAGGGCUGCUAAACACAUGGAUGUCACCUCAAGCUGGUGAAGUCCUUGAACCACGGGAUGGUGUUGCCCUGGGAUAGACCCGUUGCAUGCCUGCACUUUCACCCUCCCUAGACAUCUGCUCCAGCCACUGGGUAGGGGUUGGUGGGGGCUGGCUGCCCAGGACGGCUGGUUUCUGUUCCUGCAGCUUCCUGCGCUGUUUUGACAUUCCUCCUGAGUGAAUCACCCCGGCCAGCUUUGCCUCACGGAAUUAGACACUGCAAGGGCAGAAGCUAAAGGCACCCAGCGUGCCCAGCCCAUCGGCUGAGUGGGGAGGUUCCCCCCUGAGCUACACAAGUCCCAGGCUUCGGGGACACCUGAGUGUAUUUGCAUCUCUGUCACACACGAAGGCUGUGGGGAGUAAUUUCUUGCUAAUGAAUCGGCUGCUUUGCAGAUUGCGACAUACGUUCCACGCAUUUGUCACAGGGCUCCUAACUUGCUCAGGCCCUUUUUUAUUCCCACUUUGGGAGCAAGGAGGCCUCUGUUUUGCAACGGAAUAUUUUGCUCCUUGUGAGUAUCAUGAGCAGCAAUGAUUAAUGGCAGAAUUUGGAAAAAAAGAAAACUUAAAUAUGAAUUUCAGAGUUUCUCAUCUGAUGCAUUUCAAUGCCAUUUCAUUGUGCAGCAUGAUGACAGUUUAAAACAAUUUUUCAUGAAAACUUUCUGGCAUUGCUGCAGCUCCCCAUUCCUGUAACUCUGGGCUGAGAAACACCAAGGCUACAAGGAGCCCUGAGCCUGACUAGGCUCACAGGGACAGAAAAACAGAAAGCUUCCCAGCUUGGUGCUCAGACCUGCUGUCUGCUAACAGCAAGGAAGCUGGUUUUAAUUUUAGAGGUGCAAAUUAAACCAUAUGGGAACAAAUUGUGAACAAAACCUGUAACAUGUAGGUGAAAGUCCUAAAAAUUAAAGUGUGUAAAAGGGAAGGCAAAGCAGGCUGUGGUGUCUGGGAAGAGUCUCCUUGGAGCUCUCGCUGCAAGAGCCCCAGAGGCUGUCUCUGGGGAAGUCCCUGAGGAUGCUUGUGGGCCAGCCAGGGGCUGGCUGGCUCCUCUGGUUCCUGGUGACUUUAAUUGUGCUACAUCUUGGAUUUUCUUCCUUCCGCCUCCUCUUUCUCACAAAGCAAGUCCCUUCGGAUAAGUGAGGGGUCACAAGGAGAGGCAUGCUGCCUUGGCAAGCCCUCUGGGAGCCCUGUGGAGCAGAGGCAGGCAAGUGAAUCUCUGGACUUUACCCUUUAUCUUUCCAGAUAGAGCAGCUGUGUCUGGCCAAGGUCUGGCUGAGGCCAUCAUUUCAAAAUCAAGCUGGAAAUCAUAGAAUCACAGAAUGUUCUGAGUUGCAAGGGACCCACAAGGAUCAUCAAGCCCAACUCCUGUCCCUGCAUAGGACAACUCCAAAGUUUUACAUGCAAAUGCGAAUCUGAGUUUCCAGGCUCCAUCAUUUCCAAGGUCUGUGGCAGCAUCCCGAGCACAGCUGGGAGCGCCUGGAGCUGGAGAACCGCUUGCAUCUUGGAUCUCUUUACUUAAUUUAUUCUUAAUGAGAGCUGGGGUUGCCUGUGUAUGUAAAUCACUCUGAUUAUUGUAGUUUUACUAUACACCAUCUGCUUUCAUGGGAUUUUGUGGGCAUAAAGACAGUCAUUGCUAUGAGUGUGCGUGUGCAUAUUUACAUAGGGUUUACAGGUCAGGUAGCCUCAGCUCUCCGCAGGCAGUAACCCCACUGGAGACUAUAUAAUCCAAAAAACUGGAUUUGGAGGCAGUGCACCUCCACUCACAGAGCAGGUGAGAGACCUGUAUUGUCUCAAGACAGUGACUGGAGUGUUUGUUAAAAGGAGUAUCUGUUUCCUGACACACUUUGCUCAUAAUGAAACUACCUUCUGUGGCAUCAGUAGCCUAAUGUCAGGAAUUUUUCUUCCCUGAAAGCCUUCUAUUUUAGUGCUUUUUAAAGUUAAGAACACAAGAGAAGGGACGGGUGUUCUUUCCCCAAUUUAGGAUGGCUUUUUUUUUCUUUCCGAAACUAGUGUUUGCACUAGGGCUGGAGCAGCACUGGGUGGCUGGAGGAAACACUGGGUGCAGCCAGGGCUCAGAGCAUCCCGAGCAGAGCCAGGCAGCGUUGGCCCCGGUGAGACGAGCGAGACCUGGACUCUGGAGGCGAAACACAAAGAUCUGCCAUUGGAGAGAAGUGUGAGAGGAGUGAAGGAAUAAAUCUGUUAAAAAAGCAAGGUUUGCUUUGUACUGAAGGGAUCCUGUUAGAAAGCCUAAGCCAAAACCUUCAGGUUUAUAAAACAAAAUGGUCUUUAAUUUUUUUUUCAUUAUUUCAAUAAAAUAAAAUGUCUGUUGCUUGUUUAAAUAUCCCUGGCUGGUCUUAGAAAGAGAAACAAAGCAGGGCUUGCUGACGCAGGAGGAGCAGAAAGCGUCAAUGGCAGCUGUGCGUCCCACAUCCUGGCUGAGCAGGACAUGAAGCAUGAUGCCACCACCUCAGCCCUGGAAAAAACAUUGCAUCCUGAAAUGUACUCAGAUAAAAACACACCCCAGGUCUCAAGGGCAGCUCAGGUGAGGGUAGAGAAAAGUAGUAAGGGUGCUUUCAUCGCCUCCCUGGCUUUAGCAGGAGGCCUCUGUGUUUGAUAAUACUCUGUAUAUCUCAAAAUGCAACUGCCUUGCUGAAGAAGUUCAGGGUUAUUUUUAGGCAUUUGGAAUUGUUUUUUGUACUCAAAAGUGCUCUCCAGGACUACAAACAGGAGGCCAGCUGGAAAGCUCAUGUUUUAGGUUUGCUUUGGAUGGUAAGCACUUCACAGAGAGCUGGGGAGGGUUUGUCCCAGCCCUGGUCCCCCAGCAGGGCCAUGGCGUGGGUGUGGGGCAUGGCAAUGCUCCUGGCCCCAGGUUUUGGAGGGGGCACAGGGAUGACACCUUGGAGCACCAAAAUCUUUUAUUUUGUAAAAAAUGUUGAAAGAUUUGAGUUGGGGCCAGACCCCUGAAAAGCCAGGCGCUAGCUCCAGCAGGACUCAUUAGCUCAGUGCAGGAAUUGCUAGGUGAAUCUUUACAGCUGAGUUGUGAGGAGAUAAAACUACAUUAUGUUAACGGUCUCUUCUGGCCUGAGUAUGGAGGGGUCAGGCAGCAGGAGAGCACCAGGCCUUGCAGAGAGUGAGAUGGAGCCUAGCUUGGUAAAACCAGGGCAUGGGGGAGGCUGUGACACCAUGGAAGGUGGAAAGAAGACUGUCCCUAAAGCUAUAUCUCCUCCCAAGGACCCUCCGCCAGGUUUGACGUGCAGAUGGGGAUCUGAGGAGGACAUCGGAGAUGGGAGCUGUGGGAUGUUGUGUUGCGUGUCCCUCCUUCGUGCUGCUCCUCAGCUGAGCUCAGAGCUGUGCUUCCCCCGUCCUGCUUGGCUGCCCUGGGGUGUGCAAGGAGACGGGUGGGAGGGGGGCACUCCGAAAGUCUGUUGCGGUGGCCCCGCUUUUACAGCCAGUUAAUAAUGAAUCACAUUUGAGCAGGCUGCAAGCUGAAGGUUACAGCAUUGCCAGAGGAGGAAAGCCCAGCGGGAGCAGGUGGCAGGAGAGCUGACUCCAGGUAUUGUCAGCCACGACGGCUUGCAAACAGAUGGCAUGGAGAAGCAGAGGCUCUGAAUUAGUUGUGCCCAUCCCAGUUGCAGGUGCAACACAGCUUCCUGCAGAAAGCCACAAAGCAGACCAGAGCAGCAACAGGAAAACUUCCCUAGAUGCCUCUCCCAUGCCUCUGGAAGAAUUGCACGGCAUGGCCUUGGCACACACAGCAAAUAGAGCAACCUUGCAGCACGGCUGGGAAGCCAGUGAGCGCAGCAGCACCCACUCCUCCCCAAAGGCUCAUGGAGAAAUUUAAGCACCGAUUUGGCAAAGGACGUGAGGGAUGAUUUCUAACACACCUUGCAUUAACCAUCGCUGUGAAAUUGCCCCGUCACAUGAGGUAAAGCACUGCAAAAUGAAGAUGGAGGCAGAAAAUAAGGAGCUGGGAUCAUUUUCAUCAGGCUAACUGUAGGAGUGAUCUGCAAAUUUGUUAAGAAGGCCAGUGAUGUUUAAUGCAUGCCUUAAUGAUCUGGAAAAAGCGGUGAGCAGUGAGGUGGCAAAUCUGCAGAUGGCCUCAAAUUGUUGCAGUUGCUCAGGAUGAGGCUGUGAGGCGCAUUUUUAUGGCAAGGCCCCUGCCCAGGAACUUGGCCUCUGAUGAGGAGAGGAGAGUGUUGGAAAGGAGAGAAGGAAAUUCUAUUUCUGCCAAUAACAGAUGCCAGAGCCUCCCUCUGGAAUAGCCACAAAUCCUGAGGAAAACGGCAUCCUGAGCCACUUCCUCUUGGACCAGAAAACAAUAGCGGUGUGCUAAGCCUCCGCUACAUCCAUGCACAGCCUUAAAGGAGCUACACUGAACUGCAAGACACCAGCAUCCCCACAUUUCCUAAAGAUCAUGGUCGACCUGCCUCAGGUUCAGGGCCUGACUCAGCAAGACAGGGAAUUUACACCCACUGAAAUCCCAGUUUCAAUGGCCUUAAAGAUGUGCUCAGCAACACACCAGCCUGAUGGACCAGGCUGUUUAAUGCAGCAGUCUAUAAAGCCAUGGAAAACGCUAAGGCUGGGUUUCAUUGCACUUUCAACUUGCUGAAAGAUGUUAAUGGUGUGUGUGCUAAGAUGCUGUGCUGAAUCAAACCUGAGAAAAGCACCUCGUAAUGCCAUGGUCAGUGUGUUAGAUGGUAUUAUCUUGUACAUGGGGGGAGCUGUCAAAACUCAGGAAGAUGAAUUGUAUGUAGCUUCAAAAAGCAUGCCUUUGCCUUCACAUUUUCAUGUAUAUAAUAGUGUUGUGGGAGCAGUAGUGAAGUGAUAAAGCCAAGUCUCAAGGUAGCUCAGCAGAAAUGAAUAAAUCUUUGUAAUUGACAGGCCUUAAUAAUAAUAAAUACGUGAAGGGUUUAUUUCUCCCUCUAUCCAGUUAGAAAAUUACUACAUGGGAAUACUCGCCAGCAAUUGGGACUCUUCUAAAUAAUUACCAAGUCAAUCCAUUCUGCAACCUCUGCCAGCUUCAGCAUCUCAAUAAUUAAAAAGGUAUUACUUGUAGCUAAUGGUAAAGAGAACAGAUGUUUCCACUUGGAAGCUUUUUCCUUCUUAUUUCCCAUAAUUUUCACUGCUUUAAGCCAUACUGUGUCUGAAUAUUUCCCAGUUAUACUGGCACACCUGUUCCAGCAGGUCACAGAGGCAAAGCCCAGUGUGAAUCCGCACCCUGGGGCACAUGAGGGGUGCAUCUGCAGAAGCGAAGCUGGGUUUAUUGCGCUGAAGGUGAUCACUGUCGUUAGCUGGAGGGUGAAGCAGCAGCAUGUUCUCCCUAAGUUGGCUUAAUACCCUUUUCCAUGUUCCUGCUGGUGCCCUGUCACCUGAAUGCCAGGCAGGCUGAAACUCACAGCCAUGUGCCCAGGCUUGCUGGGCAAGGAAUCUUCAAAGCUUUUUCCAUCUCUGGAGGUAGCUCAUACACAAAACUGGGAUUCUUUCUCUGCUAAAGUUUUGUACGCCGCCCUUAGCCCCAGCACUGGUCUGGACCGCGCUCAGUCUCUGCAUUCUCUCAGUGUGAAUUUUGAGGGUUGUUCUUCCAGGCGUGAAAUCAUCUGCUUGAUGGUGUUGUUUUGCUUUCCUCUGAUGUUAUAGCUCUUCUGUGGCCUGCUUUGCUUUGCUUGCUACUACAACUACACAGUAUGUCAUUAGCACUCUAUAAAUGCCUCAGCCACCUCGAGGUGAAAUAAAA